GAACAGGUGCAGAGUCGCUGGAAGGAACUCCAGGAUACAGUGUGGCCUCCACAGCAUCAGGCAGCCAGGGAGAUGCAAACACGUCUGCUAUAGAUGCUGGCAAUGAGACCCCCCUCUUCCCAGCCAGGGUCUCUUAGAGCACACUCGAGAAAGCUCAUCUGUCCCCCACGAGGCUGUUGACCGAAAGAGGUUGAAGAGAGAUGUGGAGCCCAGCUGCAGAGGGACCAGCCUUGUGCCUGACUAGGUCUUGGCCCAGAACCCCCAAGUUCAUCAUUCACAAUGAUGCCUCAGAAAGCAUCCCAGAGCCCCUCCACCCUCCAACAGAUGUCACCUUAAAGCCAGACACAGAAGCUGUGCAGGGCAAGCACAGCAACACUGGCCCCACGUCUCUCAGAAAGGUCAUCCUGUCAGCACUGGGGGCCCAAGAACUCCUCAACUCGCUGCACUCCUACUGCUUCUGCUCCCGGGGGAACAGGAACACAGGUGCCGCCUGUGGGAGCAGGUGGAGAAGAAUGGCGAGCUGAAGAGGGGCAGCCGCCGACAGCCAGGUGCACACGCUGCAGGAGGAGCUGGACGAGCUGAAGGGAGGGGGCUCCCUGCCUUAGCAGCCGGCUGCCCCCAGCCGAGUUUGGUGGCAGCAGUGGGAUCCAAAGGAGACAUCUGAUGGCUUAGGGGAUGAGAAACACAGGCAUUGGUACCCGCAAAACCUUUGAGUUCUCCAUCUUUGUCAAUGAUUCUGAGAGCCGUGGAGUCAGCUCCAGAGUUUCAGCCAGCAGCAGAAGCAGAGCUGUGGGCAGUGGUGGAGGUAGAGCUGGCUCCAGCUCCGUUGACACCACACCCUCUAGCACUGGAGCCAGUGUCCCCUCUACCAGCAGUGUUGGAGGUGGAGCAAGGGCCAACAUGGGCUCCAGCAGGAGUGGGAGCUGCUAAGUUGGAGUCACCUGGACCAUCAUUUCUAGUGGGAAGUCCGUCUCCACCUGUGGCUAAGAAGUGUGAGAAGAAGCCCAACCUACGGCCUUCCCUCCUAAGCUGGUGGUGGAGCAGUUGAUCGUGAUGGA